CCCUACAUGAAAUCCCCUGUCCGUCGUGUCUUCGCGCGUCUCGUCUGUGUGUACAUCGGGGUUCGACAACCCAAUUAACAAUUGCAUAAGGUCAGUGUAAACGCCAAAGGUGUAUAUAUAAAGUAAUAUGCUACAAGUACGAUGGCUUAGGUUGAAUUGUUGAAUUAUUGUUAAUCUAAUUUUAAUCAUGUACUUUCUACUGGACUUUUUUUUAAGUGGAGAAGGUAUUCCGCUAUAAAUAUUCGUGUGUCAUCGUAAUAAGACCCAACAUGUACGAGUUGAACGAUCGUUGUGCCGGAAAACGAUCUCAGGGCAUUAACUUAAGUUUGCUUAACUUAAGUCCCUGUAUAAGGGAGAGCCGAUAAAGAAGCGGAUGAAGUAGCCAGAUAGUGACCAUAUGCAGGACGGAAAAUGUAUGCAGCGGCUGGACAUUAAAAAAAUCAUAUCGAACGACACGUUUCUAACCAUAGAUUAACAUCAAAACAGUCUUUAACAGCAAGUGAGUUUCAUCACACGAGUUUUCUUUCCGUCCAAGAACAGUCCUGUGAUCUAGUGAUGGGCGUUUCGGAGCGCACCAACGGCUCCGGACGAACGGGUCCGGAGCCAGCUCCGCUCCGACGGAUUCGCUCCAACGGCUCUGUACCAAUGGCUCCGCAGGCGUCUCCGGACUAACAGCUCUGCACUCACAGCUCCGUUCCAACGGCUGUGGACCCGGCUUCAGGCCCACUGUUCCGGAGCCGGCGAAGAAUCAACGUUGGUCUCGCCUUUCUUAAUUAUAUUCAAAACUCAUCGAUUUUUUUGAUAAAUUAUUUUAACAUGACCUACUCCGCUAUUUACGGUUUUCCUCGAUUGAAACUUUACAGGGUUUUCGAGGAUUAAAUAGACAUGUUCAGCGAGUUGUAGAUUCGUUCAGGCAUAUAAUAGACUCUUUCAGCGAGAUAUAGAAUUGUUCGGAAGUAGGCGUUGACAUGUUCAGCGAUUCUGUAGAGCUGUCAUUUGUUUUGUUUACACACUGUGCCGCAGGGUUCAAUUUUUCAUUCUUAAACGUACUAAAAGUAGCUAAUAAUCAUUCUCCAAGCUGUUUAAUACAUAAAUUAGUUGAAAAAAGCAUAUUUUUUCGAAAACCGUUUGUUUACCUUCUGAUGAGAAUCAUCCAACUUGCAGUCCAAGGGGUACGAAAGUGACAGCUCUACAGUAUAACCGAACAUGUCUACACCUACUUCCGAACAAUUCUAUAUCUCGCUGAAGGAGUCUAUUAUAUGCCUGAACGAAUCUACAACUCGCUGAAAAUGUCUAUAUAAUCCUCGAAAACCCUGUA